rnacentral:rRNA from 1 species
GACAGAGGGUGCGAACGUUGUUCGGAAUUACUGGGCGUAAAGGGCUCGUAGGCGGCCAACUAAGUCAGACGUGAAAUCCCCUCGGCUUAACCGGGGAACUGCGUCUGAUACUGGAUGGCUUGAGUUUGGGAGAGGGAUGCGGAAUUCCAGGUGUAGCGGUGAAAUGCGUAGAUAUCGGAGGAACACCGGUGGCGAAGGCGGCAUCCUGGACCAACACUGACGCUGAGUGAGCGAAAGCCAGGGGAGCAAACGGG